rfam:Ipomoea nil DNA, scaffold: scaffold0900, cultivar: Tokyo-kokei standard.
AUGAUAAUGAUGAAGCUAUUUUUGCAUUCCAACACUUGGACUGAGAGAUUAAAUCUCAAUGAAUGCAAAACAUUUUGCAUCUGAAUCUUU